UGCAAGUCGAGCGAACAGAUAAGGAGCUUGCUCCUUUGACGUUAGCGGCGGACGGGUGAGUAACACGUGGGUAACCUACCUAUAAGACUGGGAUAACUUCGGGAAACCGGAGCUAAUACCGGAUAACAUUUGGAACCGCAUGGUUCUAAAGUGAAAGAUGGUUUUGCUAUCACUUAUAGAUGGACCCGCGCCGUAUUAGCUAGUUGGUAAGGUAACGGCUUACCAAGGCAACGAUACGUAGCCGACCUGAGAGGGUGAUCGGCCACACUGGAACUGAGACACGGUCCAGACUCCUACGGGAGGCAGCAGUAGGGAAUCUUCCGCAAUGGGCGAAAGCCUGACGGAGCAACGCCGCGUGAGUGAUGAAGGGUUUCGGCUCGUAAAACUCUGUUAUUAGGGAAGAACAAAUGUGUAAGUAACUGUGCACAUCUUGACGGUACCUAAUCAGAAAGCCACGGCUAACUACGUGCCAGCAGCCGCGGUAAUACGUAGGUGGCAAGCGUUAUCCGGAAUUAUUGGGCGUAAAGCGCGCGUAGGCGGUUUCUUAAGUCUGAUGUGAAAGCCCACGGCUCAACCGUGGAGGGUCAUUGGAAACUGGGAAACUUGAGUGCAGAAGAGGAAAGUGGAAUUCCAUGUGUAGCGGUGAAAUGCGCAGAGAUAUGGAGGAACACCAGUGGCGAAGGCGACUUUCUGGUCUGUAACUGACGCUGAUGUGCGAAAGCGUGGGGAUCAAACAGGAUUAGAUACCCUGGUAGUCCACGCCGUAAACGAUGAGUGCUAAGUGUUAGGGGGUUUCCGCCCCUUAGUGCUGCAGCUAACGCAUUAAGCACUCCGCCUGGGGAGUACGACCGCAAGGUGAAACUCAAGGAAUUGACGGGGACCCGCCAAGCGUGAACAUGUGGUUAAUUCGAACCACGCGAAGACCGUACCAAUCUUGACUCCUUUGAAACUCUAAGAUAGAGCUUCCCUUCGGGGACAAGUGACAGUGGUGCUGGU
rnacentral:rRNA from 1 species